rnacentral:rRNA from 1 species
UUUCCGGUUGAUCCUGCCGCCGGCCACCGCUAUCAAGUUCCGACUAAGCCAUGCGAGUCAAGGUAUCGUAAGAUGCCGGCAAACUGCUCAGUAACACGUGGAUAAUCUAACCUUGAGUAAGGGAUAACCUCGGGAAACUGAGGAUAAUACCUUAUAAUUGCUUAAAACUGGAAUGUUUAAGCAAUAAAAGUUCCGACGCUCAAGGAUGAGUCUGCGACCUAUCAGGUAGUAGGUGGUGUAAUGGACCACCUAGCCUCAGACGGGUACGGGCCCUGGGAGGGGUAGCCCGGAGAUGGACUCUGAGACAUCAGUCCAGGCCCUACGGGGCGCAGCAGGCGCGAACACUGUGCAAUGCGCGAAAGCGCGACACGGGGAGCUUGAGUGUCUUGGCAUAGCCAAGACUUUUCUCAUUCCUAAAAAGCAUGAGGAAUAAGUGCUGGGUAAGACGGGUGCCAGCCGCCGCGGUAACACCCGCAGCACAAGUGGUGGUCACUUUUAUUGAGCCUAAAGCGUUCGUAGCCGGUUUUGUAAAUCUUUAGAUAAAGCCUGAAGCUUAACUCCAGAAAGUCUGAAGAGACUGCAAGACUUGAGAUCGGGUGAGGUUAAACGUACUUUCAGGGUAGGGGUAAAAUCCUGUAAUCCUGGAAGGACAACCGGUGGCGAAGGCGUUCAACUAGAACGGAUCCGACGGUGAGGAACGAGGGCUAGGGGAGCAAACCGGAUUAGAUACCCGGGUAGUCCUAGCUGUAAACACUGCCCACUUGGUGUUGCCUCUCUGUUGAAGGGGGGCAGUGCCGGAGCGAAGGUGUUAAGUGGGCCGCUUGGGGAGUAUGGUCGCAAGGCUGAAACUUAAAGGAAUUGGCGGGGGAGCACCGCAACGGGAGGAGCGUGCGGUUUAAUUGGAUUCAACGCCGGA